GUCUACGGCCAUGCCACCCAGAACACGCUCGAUCUCAUUGGAUCUCGGAAGCUAAGCAGGGUCGCGCCUGGUUAGUACUCGGGUGGGAGACCACUUAGGAAUAUCAGGUGCUGUAGGUG
rnacentral:rRNA from 1 species